UACGAAGGGGGCUAGCGUUGCUCGGAAUCACUGGGCGUAAAGGGUGCGUAGGCGGGUCUUUAAGUCAGGGGUGAAAUCCUGGAGCUCAACUCCAGAACUCCCUUUGAUACUGAAGAUCUUGAGUUCGGGAGAGGUGAGUGGAACUGCGAGUGUAGAGGUGAAAUUCGUAGAUAUUCGCAAGAACACCAGUGGCGAAGGCGGCUCACUGGCCCGAUACUGACGCUGAGGCACGAAAGCGUGGGGAGCAAACAGG
rnacentral:rRNA from 1 species